CGCUAAGAAGCUAAACUGGACCUCAGCGUCAGCCUUUUAAGCUGAAGAUUGGUGCCUUCCAACCACCCCUAGCGG
rnacentral:tRNA from 1 species